GUCCCGUUCGUCUAGAGGCCUAGGACACCGCCCUUUCACGGCGGCGACACGGGUUCGAAUCCCGUACGGGACGCCA
rnacentral:tRNA from 11 species